GGCCCGGUAGAGUAACUGGUUAACUCGUCACCCUUUCAAGGUGAAGAUUACGGGUUCGAUUCCCGUCCGGGCUA
rfam:Acidobacteria bacterium 13_2_20CM_58_27 13_2_20cm_scaffold_60, whole genome shotgun sequence.